GCCUAGUUAGCUUAGUUGGUAGUGCGUCUGCCUUGUAAGCGCUAGGCCGUGGGUUCGAUUCCCUCCCGGGGCG
rnacentral:tRNA from 1 species